rnacentral:rRNA from 1 species
GAUGAACGCUGGCGGCGUGCUUAACACAUGCAAGUCGAACGAAGCACUUUAUUUGAUUUCCUUCGGGACUGAUUAUUUUGUGACUGAGUGGCGGACGGGUGAGUAACGCGUGGGUAACCUGCCUUGUACAGGGGGAUAACAGUUGGAAACGGCUGCUAAUACCGCAUAAGCGCACGGCAUCGCAUGAUGCAGUGUGAAAAACUCCGGUGGUAUAAGAUGGACCCGCGUUGGAUUAGCUAGUUGGUGAGGUAACGGCCCACCAAGGCGACGAUCCAUAGCCGACCUGAGAGGGGGACCGGCCACAUUGGGACUGAGACACGGCCCAAACUCGUACGGGAGGCAGCAGUGGGGAAUAUUGCACAAUGGGCGAAAGCCUGAUGCAGCGACGCCGCGUGAGCGAAGAAGUAUUUCGGUAUGUAAAGCUCUAUCAGCAGGGAAGAUAAUGACGGUACCUGACUAAGAAGCACCGGCUAAAUACGUG